UUAAGCGACUAAGCGUACACGGUGGAUGCCCUGGCAGUCAGAGGCGAUGAAGGACGUGCUAAUCUGCGAAAAGCGCCGGCGAGGUGAUAUGAACCUUUGACCCGGCGAUGUCCGAAUGGGGAAACCCAGUGCAAUCCGUUGCACUAUCGUUAACUGAAUACAUAGGUUAACGAGGCGAACCGGGGGAACUGAAACAUCUAAGUACCCCGAGGAAAAGAAAUCAACCGAGAUUCCCCCAGUAGCGGCGAGCGAACGGGGAGCAGCCCGGAGUCUGAAUCAGCUUGUGUGUUAGUGGAACGGUCUGGAAAGUCCGACGGUACAGGGUGAUAGUCCCGUACACGAAAGCACACAUGCUGUGAACUCGAAGAGUAGGGCGGGACACGUGGUAUCCUGUCUGAAUAUGGGGGGACCAUCCUCCAAGGCUAAAUACUCCUGACUGACCGAUAGUGAACCAGUACCGUGAGGGAAAGGCGAAAAGAACCCCGGCGAGGGGAGUGAAAAAGAACCUGAAACCGUGUACGUACAAGCAGUGGGAGCCUCUUUAUGGGGUGACUGCGUACCUUUUGUAUAAUGGGUCAGCGACUUAUAUUCUGUAGCAAGGUUAACCGUAUAGGGGAGCCGAAGGGAAACCGAGUCUUAACUGGGCGUUAAGUUGCAGGGUAUAGACCCGAAACCCGGUGAUCUAGCCAUGGGCAGGUUGAAGGUUGGGUAACACUAACUGGAGGACCGAACCGACUAAUGUUGAAAAAUUAGCGGAUGACCUGUGGCUGGGGGUGAAAGGCCAAUCAAACCGGGAGAUAGCUGGUUCUCCCCGAAAGCUAUUUAGGUAGCGCCUCGUGAACUCAUCUUCGGGGGUAGAGCACUGUUUCGGCUAGGGGGCCAUCCCGGCUUACCAACCCGAUGCAAACUACGAAUACCGAAGAAUGUUAUCACGGGAGACACACGGCGGGUGCUAACGUCCGUCGUGAAGAGGGAAACAACCCAGACCGCCAGCUAAGGUCCCAAAGUCAUGGUUAAGUGGGAAACGAUGUGGGAAGGCACAGACAGCCAGGAUGUUGGCUUAGAAGCAGCCAUCAUUUAAAGAAAGCGUAAUAGCUCACUGGUCGAGUCGGCCUGCGCGGAAGAUGUAACGGGGCUAAACCAUGCACCGAAGCUGCGGCAGCGACGCUUAGGCGUUGUUGGGUAGGGGAGCGUUCUGUAAGCCGUUGAAGGUGUGCUGUGAGGCAUGCUGGAGGUAUCAGAAGUGCGAAUGCUGACAUAAGUAACGAUAAAGCGGGUGAAAAGCCCGCUCGCCGGAAGACCAAGGGUUCCUGUCCAACGUUAAUCGGGGCAGGGUGAGUCGACCCCUAAGGCGAGGCCGAAAGGCGUAGUCGAUGGGAAACAGGUUAAUAUUCCUGUACUUGGUGUUACUGCGAAGGGGGGACGGAGAAGGCUAUGUCAGCCGGGCGACGGUUGUCCCGGUUUAAGCAUGUAGGCGGAGGUUCCAGGUAAAUCCGGUACCUUAUUAACGCUGAGGUGUGAUGACGAGGCACUACGGUGCUGAAGUGAUAAAUGCCCUGCUUCCAGGAAAAGCCUCUAAGCAUCAGGUAACACGAAAUCGUACCCCAAACCGACACAGGUGGUCAGGUAGAGAAUACCAAGGCGCUUGAGAGAACUCGGGUGAAGGAACUAGGCAAAAUGGUGCCGUAACUUCGGGAGAAGGCACGCUGAUAUGUAGGUGAAGUCCCUGCGGACGGAGCUGAAAUCAGUCGAAGAUACCAGCUGGCUGCAACUGUUUAUUAAAAACACAGCACUGUGCAAACACGAAAGUGGACGUAUACGGUGUGACGCCUGCCCGGUGCCGGAAGGUUAAUUGAUGGGGUUAGCGGCAACGCGAAGCUCUUGAUCGAAGCCCCGGUAAACGGCGGCCGUAACUAUAACGGUCCUAAGGUAGCGAAAUUCCUUGUCGGGUAAGUUCCGACCUGCACGAAUGGCGUAAUGAUGGCCAGGCUGUCUCCACCCGAGACUCAGUGAAAUUGAACUCGCUGUGAAGAUGCAGUGUACCCGCGGCAAGACGGAAAGACCCCGUGAACCUUUACUAUAGCUUGACACUGAACACUGGUCCUUGAUGUGUAGGAUAGGUGGGAGGCUUUGAAGCGUGGACGCCAGUCUGCGUGGAGCCAACCUUGAAAUACCACCCUUUAAUGGCUGGUGUUCUAACGUAGACCCGUAAUCCGGGUUGCGGACAGUGUCUGGUGGGUAGUUUGACUGGGGCGGUCUCCUCCCAAAGAGUAACGGAGGAGCACGAAGGUUGGCUAAUCCUGGUCGGACAUCAGGAGGUUAGUGCAAUGGCAUAAGCCAGCUUGACUGCGAGCGUGACGGCGCGAGCAGGUGCGAAAGCAGGUCAUAGUGAUCCGGUGGUUCUGAAUGGAAGGGCCAUCGCUCAACGGAUAAAAGGUACUCCGGGGAUAACAGGCUGAUACCGCCCAAGAGUUCAUAUCGACGGCGGUGUUUGGCACCUCGAUGUCGGCUCAUCACAUCCUGGGGCUGAAGUAGGUCCCAAGGGUAUGGCUGUUCGCCAUUUAAAGUGGUACGCGAGCUGGGUUUAGAACGUCGUGAGACAGUUCGGUCCCUAUCUGCCGUGGGCGCUGGAGAAUUGAGGGGGGCUGCUCCUAGUACGAGAGGACCGGAGUGGACGCAUCACUGGUGUUCGGGUUGUCAUGCCAAUGGCACUGCCCGGUAGCUAAAUGCGGAAGAGAUAAGUGCUGAAAGCAUCUAAGCACGAAACUUGCCCCGAGAUGAGUUCUCCCUGAGACUUUAAGUCUCCUGAAGGAACGUUGAAGACGACGACGUUGAUAGGUCGGGUGUGUAAGCGCAGCGAUGCGUUGAGCUAACCGAUACUAAUGAACCGUGAGGCUUAACCUU
rnacentral:rRNA from 7 species